rnacentral:tRNA from 1 species
AAAAAGAUAAGCUAAUUUAAGCUAAUAGGUUCAUACCCUAUUUAUAGAAGUAAUAAUCUUCUUCUUUUUA